rnacentral:lncRNA from 1 species
AAAUAGAAUUUGACUUGGGAACAAAGAGAAGAGUGGAAAUGUGGAUGUAAUCAAAAUUCUGUUAAGAAAACUAAGUGGGAAAACAGUAUACAGUUAGAGCUUGCUUAAUCUCCCUUCCUCUCUCAAGCUAUAGUUUAGAAGUCUACAAUAUACUAUGGCUUUGUUAAACUUGAUUUAAACAGGUAGCCAUCACCACAACAAGCCAUCACUAGGUGCUGACUGGCAGAAUCAGCCAGAACUGCUUAAGAAGUUGCUGUCCACAGCAGUUGGAUGCCUCCAUUUGGUGAUAUUUAACACCUCAAAGCUGAAAAAGUGUCUUCAUUUAGGUCAACCACCAUCAACAUCAGUUCAGUCAGGCUGAUUUUGGACGGAAGUGGGUUACAGCAAGCUCUUAUGCCAGGUGCUGUAGGCAUGUGAAGCUUCAAAACACUGUAAUGAAAGGAACAUCUUAGAAUUGCAACUUCAACAACUCAAUCUGCUUUUGAAGACACACAUUUUCAUCCUAGAAGUAAACUGUCAAGCUUGUACCAGAAGCUGAUGGAGGACACAGAAGUUGGCUUUCAGAUGACAAGGCUUUUCAGAUUCACGCAUCCUCUGAGCCUCCCUGAGUCUGCUGAGACCAUAGAGAAAUGCAUUUAA